rnacentral:rRNA from 1 species
AUUGAACGCUUGCGGCAGGCCUAACACAUGCAAGUCGAGCGAGCGGCGGUCGGGGGAGUAAUGUAUGGGGACUGCCCGCUAGAGGGGGAUAACUACUGGAAACGGGAGAUCAUACCGCAUACGAUCGGAUAACCCAUAUGGGAUUAGCUAGUAGGUGCGGUAAUGGCUCACCUAGGCUACGAUCCCUAGCUGGUCUGAGAGGAUGAUCAGCCACACUGGAACUGAGACACGGCCCAGACGCCUACGGAGGCAGCAGUGGGGAAUAUUGCACAAUGGGCGCAAGCCUGAUGCAGCCAUGCCGCGUGUAUGAAGAAGGCCCUAGGGUUGUAAAGUACUUUCAGGCGGGAGGCGUUACCGACAGAAGAAGCACCGGCUAACUCCGUGCCAGCAGCCGCGGUAAUAC